GAUGAACGCUGGCGGCGUGCCUAAUACAUGCAAGUCGAGCGAACGGACGAGAAGCUUGCUUCUCUGAUGUUAGCGGCGGACGGGUGAGUAACACGUGGAUAACCUACCUAUAAGACUGGGAUAACUUCGGGAAACCGGAGCUAAUACCGGAUAAUAUUUUGAACCGCAUGGUUCAAAAGUGAAAGACGGUCUUGCUGUCACUUAUAGAUGGAUCCGCGCUGCAUUAGCUAGUUGGUAAGGUAACGGCUUACCAAGGCAACGAUGCAGAGCCGACCUGAGAGGGUGAUCGGCCACACUGGAACGGAGACACGGUCCAGACUCCUACGGGAGGCAGCAGUAGGGAAUCUUCCGCAAUGGGCGAAAGCCUGACGGAGCAACGCCGCGUGAGUGAUGAAGGUCUUCGGAUCGUAAAACUCUGUUAUUAGGGAAGAACAUAUGUGUAAGUAACUGUGCACAUCUUGACGGUACCUAAUCAGAAAGCCACGGCUAACUACGUG
rnacentral:rRNA from 1 species